rnacentral:rRNA from 1 species
AUGGCCACGGAAUAAGCCAUGGCAUGGUUCUCAGUAUAAGCUUUCUAUACGGGCGAAACUUGCGAAUGAGCUCAUCUAAAAUGUUCUAGUUUAUUUUGGCAGUCAGCAAUUACAUCGGAUAACCGCGGUAAUUCUAGAGCUAAUACAUCGCGCCCAAACCCGACUUUCGUGGAAUAGUCUGUUUAUUAGAUACAGAACCAACCCAGGCUCCGCCCGGCCUCGAGGUGAUUCAUAAUAACCGAACGAAUCGCAUGGCUACGCCGGCGAUAGACCAUUCAAGUUUCUGACCUAUCAGCUAUCGUCGGUAGGGUAUUGGCCUACCGCGGCAAUGACGGGUAACGGAGAAUUAGGGUUCGAUUCCGGAGAGGGAGCCUGAGAAACGGCUACCACAUCUAAGGAAGGCAGCAGGCGCGCAAAUUACCCAAUCCUGACGCAGGGGAGGUAGUGACAAGAAAUAACAAUACAGGGCAUACAUGUCUUCGUAAUUGGAAUGAGUAAAC